AUUGAACGCUGGCGGCAUGCCUUACACAUGCAAGUCGAACGGUAACAGGUCUUCGGAUGCUGACGAGUGGCGAACGGGGGAGUAAUACAUCGGAACGUGCCCGCGAGUGGGGGAUAACGAGGCGAAAGCUUUGCUAAUACCGCAUACGAUCUCAGGAUGAACGCAGGGGACCGCAAGGCCUUGCGCUCACGGAGCGGCCGAUGGCAGAUUAGGUAGUUGGUGGGAUAAAAGCUUACCAAGCCGACGAUCUGUAGCUGGUCUGAGAGGACGACCAGCCACACUGGGACUGAGACACGGCCCAGACUCCUACGGGAGGCAGCAGUGGGGAAUUUUGGACAAUGGGCGCAAGCCUGAUCCAGCCAUGCCGCGUGCAGGAUGAAGGCCUUCGGGUUGUAAACUGCUUUUGUACGGAACGAAAAGACUCUGGUUAAUACCUGGGGUCCAUGACGGUACCGUAAGAAUAAGCACCGGCUAACUACGUGCCAGCCGCCGCCGUAACAC
rnacentral:rRNA from 1 species